rnacentral:rRNA from 1 species
UUACUGACGCUAAAGCUCGAAGGUGCGGGUAUCGAACAGGAUUAGAUACCCUGGUAGUCCGCACGGUAAACGAUGGAUGCCCGCUGUUUGCCCUUCGGGGUGAGUGGCUAAGCGAAAGCGUUAAGCAUCCCACCUGGGGAGUACGCCGGCAACGGUGAAACUCAAAGGAAUUGACGGGGGCCCGCACAAGCGGAGGAGCAUGUGGUUUAAUUCGAUGAUACGCGAGGAACCUUACCCGGGCUUGAAUUGCAGAUGACGGAUCUAGAGAUAGUGACUUCCUUCGGGACAUCUGUGAAGGUGCUGCAUGGUUGUCGUCAGCUCGUGCCGUGAGGUGUCGGCUUAAGUGCCAUAACGAGCGCAACCCUUCUCUUCAGUUGCCAUCAGGUAGAGCUGGGCACUCUGGAGACACUGCCACCGUAAGGUGUGAGGAAGGUGGGGAUGACGUCAAAUCAGCACGGCCCUUACGUCCGGGGCUACACACGUGUUACAAUGGCCGGUACAGAAAGUCGGAUGCCCGUAAGGUCAUUCUAAUCAAGAAAGCCGGUCCCAGUUCGGACUGAGGUCUGCAACCCGACCUCACGAAGCUGGAUUCGCUAGUAAU